UGGGGAAUUUUGGGCAAUGGGCGAAAGCCUGACCCAGCAACGCCGCGUGAAGGAUGGAGUAUUUCGGUAUGUAAACUUCGAAAGAAUAGGAAGAAUAAAUGACGGUACUAUUUAUAAGGUCCGGCUAACUACGUGCCAGCAGCCGCGGUAAUACGUAGGGACCAAGCGUUGUUCGGAUUUACUGGGCGUAAAGGGCGCGUAGGCGGCAAUUCAAGUCAUCUGUGAAAUCUCCGGGCUUAACUCGGAACGGUCAGAUGAUACUGCUUUGCUAGAGUGCAGAAGGGGCAAUCGGAAUUCUUGGUGUAGCGGUGAAAUGCGUAGAUAUCAAGAGGAACACCUGAGGUGAAGACGGGUUGCUGGGCUGACACUGACGCUGAGGCGCGAAAGCCAGGGGAGCAAACGGGAUUAGAUACCCCAGUAGUCCCUGAGCGGGCUGGCAAGGCGCAU
rnacentral:rRNA from 1 species